rnacentral:rRNA from 1 species
UACGUAGGGUGCAAGCGUUGUCCGGAAUUAUUGGGCGUAAAGAGCUCGUAGGCGGUUUGUCGCGUCUGCUGUGAAAACUCAGGGCUUAACCCUGAGCCUGCAGUGGGUACGGGCAGACUAGAGUGUGGUAGGGGAGAUCGGAAUUCCUGGUGUAGCGGUGGAAUACGCAGAUAUCAGGAGGAACACCGGUGGCGAAGGCGGAUCUCUGGGCCAUAACUGACGCUGAGGAGCGAAAGCAUGGGGAGCGAACAGG